CCUGGAAGGAGAAAAGGAAGGAGAAACGCGACGUAAAGCGAGUCACAGGCCCGUCUCCUCCACGGGCGGGAUCCGACCCCCGCCCCAGGAAAGCCCCACACGGAGCAAGCCCGCGCCACCGCUCACCGCCAGCGCCACAGGACCGCGCGGCUCAUCCCGUUCCACCACCACGCGUCACGUCCGGCGCAGUGUGACACACUUCCGGUCUACGGAGCGGAACUGGCGCGUCGGCCGAGAGACUAACGCAAGACCCCCAAACCUCCCUACGCCGUGGCGCCUUCCGGUGAAGUGUCGGAAUUAGCGACGACUGAGCAUGCGCGCGUGUCCGAGCAUGCUCCGUAAUAUCUUCUGAAGCCGCUCUCCUCCGUUGGCUACGUCACUCGGAAGGUCCACGCUGCUGGCGGGGGGUCGGGACGGCCACGGGCCGUGUGUGCAGGGGCCUCGGAGCGGGCAGAGGGUGCGCGAGCCACGGUUGGAGGGGCAGAGGCGAUAACACUUACUGGAGAUGGGCUGGGCAGAAUUGGCAUAGACUAAGAUAAGAUGUUUCCAAAAGCACCAAGGUCUCUGCGUAAUCCUUGAAGGCUCCUUAUGCGUUUCCUGAGCAUGCUACCCAGUAUGGGGGUUUCUUUGCAUGUUCCUUGAUGAAGAGCUCAUUGGACAGAACUGCUGGUCCAGUAUUGCCACAGUUGAUUCCAGCUGUACGUUCAGCACAAACCAAAGUGAGGCUUGCAGUCUGAUGGCUUCACAGUGCUGUUUGUAUACAACCUGACAUGAAAGUCUGGAUCCGAUUAAAAUAUCUCUCUUGCCUCCUUCCA